rfam:Dipodomys ordii contig_69822, whole genome shotgun sequence.
GGCGCUGUAGUUCAAGUGGUAGAGUGCUUGCCUUGCAUACAUGAGACCCUGGGUUCGAUUCCUCAGCACCA